UACGUAGGGCGCAAGCGUUGUCCGGAAUUAUUGGGCGUAAAGAGCUCGUAGGCGGCUUGUCGCGUCGAUUGUGAAAGCCCGGGGCUUAACCUCGGGUCUGCAGUCGAUACGGGCUGGCUAGAGUGUGGUAGGGGAGGAUCGGAAUUCCGUGGUGUAGCGGUGAAAUGCGCAGAUAUCAGGAGGAACGACCGGUGGCGAAGGCGGAUCUCUGGGCCAUUACUGACGCUGAGGAGCGAAAGCGUGGGGAGCGAACAGG
rnacentral:rRNA from 1 species